UUGGAGAGCCAGGAGAGAGCAGUUUCAUGGACAUGAGAGAGAAGAGGGAAUCCAGAAAGAAAGGGUACCCCAGCACAGUGGGAAGUAACAUUGGAUUUAGAGUCAGAGAAAUAGGUUCAAAUCCUACUUUUGUCAUUUACUCUGUAAACCUUAAAAUUUCUUAGACUUAUGAAUGUUGGAAAUUUCCUCAUUGGGAAAUUUCAUACUUGAAAAAAUUUCCUACUGAUAGUAAGAACUCUAUUGCAAUAUGAAACUCCUUGGCAUGGGAGGAUCCUUCUCCUCCCCACUUAAGACUACUUUAGGACAGAAACCUUUUACUAAACAAUGGAAAGGGAUUUGACCUGUGCUUAAGCAUAGAACAGGAAGUUCUUUGAGUCAUGAUUGAUUUUAGAAUUGAUACAAUAGAGAUACUUGGAAUGACAGAACCAGGUCUUGGAAACUACAAUCUCCACCCUACUCAGAGUAACAGAAUUUAGGAAGGGCUGCAGCAAAGAUCAAGAUUUAAUUAUUUGAGAAUAUGAUCUUCAACAGACAUGUGCAAAGGGGCCAGACCUCUGGGUGGUCCUGGGUUAAGCUAGAGCCACCAUUGGCACAGGGGAGACAUCGACAGUGAUUGGAUAGAUGUGAGAACUGAGGGGAGGGAACUUAGAUUGUUUCCUUAAAAGAUAGCGGGGUCUGAGGACUGGAGGUGGUUUUUUGCUCUGAAGGAGGUCUGAGAGGAGAGGUCCUGGAGGGAGAGUUCCUGGAGAGAUCUUGAAGGAGGCUGUGGAAGGAGAACUCAGGAGGAAUCAGGAGGAGAAUUCUCUGGAAACAUUUCUUGAAAGGAGGCUCUCUUGAAGGUGGAGCCUGAGGUUGGCAUGAGAAGCCUUACCUAGAGAGAUCUUGGGUGAGUGAUAAAACCAACUGACUGAUUUAUCUCUUAGGACUGAAGUCUAGGCCUUAUUGGCUUGAGGCCCUUCAUUCUUAUUCCUUUCUUACUUUCUCUCUUUUUCUAUUGAUUAAUCAGUGUAUUAUAAAUUAAAUUACUCUAUAAAACCCAGUUGGCUUGGGCAUAUUCAUAAAUUGGGAAUAUAUUCCCUGGCGACCAUCUUAUAUUUA
rnacentral:lncRNA from 1 species